rnacentral:rRNA from 1 species
UACGUAGGGUGCGAGCGUUAAUCGGAAUUACUGGGCGUAAAGCGUGCGCAGGCGGUGAUGUAAGACCGAUGUGAAAUCCCCGGGCUCAACCUGGGGAACUGCAUUUGUGACUGCAUGGCUAGAGUACGGUAGAGGGGGAUGGAAUUCCGCGUGUAGCAGUGAAAUGCGUAGAUAUGUGGAGGAACACCGAUGGCGAAGGCAGCCCCCUGGGUCAAGACUGGCGCUCAUGCACGAAAGCGUGGGGAGCAAACAGG